rnacentral:tmRNA from 1 species
GGGGCUGACCGGUUUCGACGUGGGGUCCGGAAGCCGAACGUGCGACCCGAGUUCUCUCAGACUCGUUAAACGGGGAACCCACAGAAGCGCCGAUGGCGACUUCGCUCUCGCCGCCUGACCCCUAGUCAGGUGAAGAGAGACAUCGUGACCAGCAAUGGCGCACGGGGCCUGACCGCUACAGCCCGGCAACAGAAGUAGCGGUUGGCGGCGGGGAAGACCGCUGACGGUGGGAAAGACCACUGCCACCUCGGAAAGACGAGGCGGAGGGCGCGAGCCCAGCUGACCCGGCAGCGAGCCAGCCGUCACGGCUCAUCUCGGGAACGGUCGUAGCGCGGUCGUCGACCGUCUCGCGGACGAGGGUUCGAUUCCCUCCAGCUCCACCA